rnacentral:rRNA from 1 species
UAGGGAAUUUUGCGCAAUGGACGAAAGUCUGACGCAGCAAUACCGUGUGAGGGAUGAAGCAUUUCGGUGUGUAAACCUCUGUCGAUGGUGAAUAAGGCAUUCAGGAGUGGAAAGCCUGGGUGUUGAAGGUAGCCAUGAAGGAAGCACCGGCUAACUCUGUGCCAGCAGCCGCGGUAAUACAGGGGGUGCAAGCGUUGUUCGGAAUCACUGGGCGUAAAGGGAGCGUAGGCGGGUCUACAAGACAGAGGUCAAAUCUCCGGGCUCAACCUGGAACUUGCCUUUGUGACUGUGGGCCUUGAGUAUGGUAGAGGUCAGUGGAAUUUCCGGUGUAGCGGUGGAAUGCGUAGAGAUCGGAAAGAACACCAGAGGCGAAGGCGACUGACUGGGCCAAUACUGACGC